AUUGAACGCUGGCGGCAUGCCUUACACAUGCAAGUCGAACGGCAGCACGGGUGCUUGCACCUGGUGGCGAGUGGCGAACGGGUGAGUAAUACAUCGGAACAUGUCCUGUAGUGGGGGAUAGCCCGGCGAAAGCCGGAUUAAUACCGCAUACGAUCUACGGAUGAAAGCGGGGGACCUUCGGGCCUCGCGCUAUAGGGUUGGCCGAUGGCUGAUUAGCUAGUUGGUGGGGUAAAGGCCUACCAAGGCGACGAUCAGUAGCUGGUCUGAGAGGACGACCAGCCACACUGGGACUGAGACACGGCCCAGACUCCUACGGGAGGCAGCAGUGGGGAAUUUUGGACAAUGGGCGAAAGCCUGAUCCAGCAAUGCCGCGUGUGUGAAGAAGGCCUUCGGGUUGUAAAGCACUUUUGUCCGGAAAGAAAUCCAUGGCUCUAAUACAGUCGGGGGAUGACGGUACCGGAAGAAUAAGCACCGGCUAACUACGUG
rnacentral:rRNA from 1 species